GCUGUAGCUCAGUGGUAGAGCAUCUACCUUGCAUGUCGAAUGUUCCAGGUUCAAUUCCCAGCAUCUCCA